UUGAUGGAUGGGCAAACAAUCUUCACAAUCUUGUUCGUGCAAUCACCUUCCACUGGCUUGAAUGAAACAUCAACUUUUCUUAGCCUAGUCUUCUAGGAAGAAAUCCAGCACCUAGUACAACAAUGUUCAUUUCAUACACAUCAGCAAAUGUUAAAAGUUCAAUCAAGAAGAGGGAAUCAAAAGAAAAAAUAUGCUGAAAGAGAGACCUCAGAACAAAAUGUUAAAGUUACCGUAGCUACAAUAUCAAUGAGAAUAUUACGUUAGCCUAGCUAUUUGAAGAGGAACAGUAGUGCAGAAGAUGAACUAAUAAAAAAUGCAGAGCAAUGUAGAUGAUUGAGGUCAUUAACCAUUUUCCAGUUUCAAGCACAGCCCCACAAAGAAUGAACCAGCAUAAAACAAUGCACAAAAGAUGGGAUUUAUAAUAGAAAGUACCAGUUAUGGGGUUCAGGGUUUCAUUGUUGAGAAACUAACAGUGCAGUUGUUACUUCGCACUUGCCAUAAAUAAUAUUUCUUCUUUUAAAAUAAACAGUGCACCAUCGUGAAAGAGAUCCAGGAAACGUUAAGGUGAGUGAUGAGGUUGUUAAAUACUUCAUAUGUCAUGGCAUGGCAUACAUAAUGCAAUAAGAGAAUGGGGGGGGGGGGGCGGCGGUGUGCCCAAAUAAAGGGAUUCUGUGAUAUUGGUUUAUGGAGAAAAGCCAAGUCGUAGCUAAGAAAGUGAUAUGGAGCAACUAAAAACAAGUGUCAUGAAGUUUACCUAACUGCAGAUUCACUAACUUCAGAGCUUGACCUCCACAUCAACUCCAGCAGGAAGGUCAAGUUGCAUCAAUGAAUCUAUUGUUUGUGCAGUUGGGUACAGAAUAUCUAUAAGACGUUGAUGGGUUCGAAUCUCAAAAUGGAACCUUG
rnacentral:lncRNA from 1 species